rnacentral:lncRNA from 1 species
AAACCUCAACAGUCGCAGCGGAAUAUAAACUAGAGUAAAUUCAAAUAUACAUGUUAAGAAUAAAUAAAUUACAUCAACAUAGAUGCAUCUCAAAAAUCCCAACAAACGGGUAAUCUCCAAACAUAACAAAAACCAAAGUAAAAGAUAAUCUAGACUGACACAACUAAGCCUAGAUCAGAGCCGACUAAACAUCUAAACACCGAUAUCGGAGAAAGCUCCAGAUAUCCACCAAGCACAAGAACUCACCAAGCAUCUAAUCCUGCACAACGUCUACCCAUCCAUACAGAUAGGCAGGCGGUCC